AUGGGACACUCAGUGAAUGGUUUACCUCUGCUAGCAACUCAAGUUAAACAUUUAACGAUGGAUGGAUGUUGGUCUGAUUUGAAAUACCACUCAGGGCAGGUUCAUGAGUUUAGAGAGUUCAUCUGGGAAGUGAUGAAAGCUACUUCACCAAGCCUCAGGAAGAUAUGACAGAAGAUGGGCAGCCCCAAGCUGCCGUUCCUCAAGAGAAGUUUAAACACAUUGGCUUCCGGUUCUCCACUCCAGAUCACCUGCCUGUUCACCACAGAAACUCAUAGACAAAAGGCAGUGACGUUCAUUAUUGUUUUGAUGCAAACUACCUCCUGGGAGGAAUGUGGGCUAACUGUUCCAAUAUAGACAACUCAUCAAGAGGACAGAGACAUUGACUGGCUGUUAUUUGAACAACACAUGAAUCACUUCCUUCCAGCAGGGCCCUCUGGUGGUCUUAAAUUUGGGUAUCACAAGAACUCCUAAUGGGUUAAGCCCCGUGAGAGGUGUUGCUGAAUGAGACAGAAAAAUCCCCAAAUUUUCUGUCCCAGGCUUGAACAAGUGGCCACAGAUACCAUAAAAAUCACUCUGAAGUCAUGCAUUAUAUACUACCAAAAGAAAAAAGACACCCAAACUCAAUCAGCCCAUUGGAUUCAGUGCCCAGCCACUAAAACAAAUUCUCCCUUCUACUCUAAAGGAAGGGGCCAUGUGCCCUCUGCCUUCUCUGGUGGAGAGUUAGCCUCUGUAGCAGUAACGUGUCACCAAUGCAGUUUGUGCUUCUUGGCUUUAUCCCUAUCUUCUGAGUUGAUACGCCCUGUCGAUCUCAAUGCAAAGAUUGAGCCACAUGUGGCAACUUGGGAGCCUGGGCUCUGCAGAGCCAGAAAGAUGAAAGAGAGGAGUGGGCCUUUGAUUUUUCUCAAGAAACUUGGCGUGUUUGUGCAGAUUUUUUUUUCCCUGAGAUGACAUAACAGGUUUCUUAGUAGCAACGUGUAAUCUGGCUGCAGGGCUGUUGGUAUCACUCAGCUACUUACUUAAAAAAGAAACAGGCCAACCAACCUCAGCUAAACCACCUCCAGACACUGGCCUCCUUUGUGCCCAACGUGUCUUACAGGCUCUCUGCAGCAAAUCCUGCAAUCCACCUGCACAGGGAAGAAGAUAUUCUCAUUCUUCUCUAGUGUGAUCCUCUUCUGAAACCUAUUAACAUUCUUCUUGAGAGCCACCUGUCCAGAAACCCAAGGGACCAUAGAUAAACAAACAAACAAACAAACAAACAAAUAAACGAAGUGGUUUUAUUUUGAAUGAAAAAAGUUUCCUCCUGCCAAGAAGUUCUUUCUAAUCUGAAGUUCAAAAGCUACAAGUACAUCAGAAUUGUUUCAAGUCUCCUCACCUCUUCUACAUGAAAUGAAAGAAGUACCCUCUCACCCAGAUUUGCUGGCAGGCAUUGCAGUAAAAACCAGGGCCUCUCGCAUGACAAGUCCCAGGGUCUGAAGGAGCUCAGGAUAAACAGACGAAAGCACUUACCACUCGUUCCGUGGACGAGUUGGUGUGACCUCAUACUUGGAGCUAUAAUCCAAGAACAGGUCUACAGCAAAGCUAAGAGCUCUACACGUGACGACUCCAUCCCUCACUGACCCACAGGGACCCUGUG
rnacentral:lncRNA from 1 species